rnacentral:sRNA from 1 species
UUUCAUAUGUUACAAUAGAAAAUGUAGAGAAGUGGAAGACGGUGGCUAUCCUGAAGGGUGGUGAUGCUUAUGGAUAUAGGCGUCCAAUCUAGGAAAGGAAAGGCCUUUUUGUGACUAUUUUUGAGUCGCUGCAAUUGAUGUUUGGUUUUGGAAUGUUCAUCAUUUCAUUAUUAACUUUGG